CGACACGUAGCUCAACAGUGAGAGCACUGGGCUGCAGACCCGGAGGGAGCAGGGGCGGCACCUGCCGUGUCGG
rnacentral:tRNA from 1 species